ensembl:lncRNA
UGUUCUUGUUCUGAAACAUUCAACAAAGUCCCAGGUGCUUGUUGGAUGGAGAUGAUAAUUAAGAAGCAGUACUGCUCACUGCAAAUGAAGAGGAAUACAGCAUCCUCAGGACAUUAAAGCAAAUAUACAAGGAGUGGACAGGAACAAGCACUUAAAAAUGCACGCUGCUAAGACUGUGAUAACAGGAUCUGGGGAGAAAGGCUUCAUAACUAUCAGUUUUUGGCAUGUAGUUCUGUACUGUCUGGUAAUGAAGAUGAAUCAUAUCUUUUGAAACCCUUUCUUUAAAAUUAGCUUAAAUGAAGGUGCAGGAGUGAGUGUUCUUGACCCUGGGCACUUCUACAGAACGUACAGUGAAGGUGAUUGCUGAAUUAUGUGGCUGAUGUUUGUGAGAUGGGAAAAAGUCCCUGCAGACACAUGAAAGGUAUCCUGGAACUAAGGCGGGCAGUGAUGUGCCCGUGACAGCUGACCUCAUCCUGGCUGGGUGGAUUUGUGCCCUUACAGAGCAGAAGUGAAGAGGAAAAAGCUGCAGCAGCCCCCUGUAUGCUCACGCCCUGAAACAGCUGCACAUUGGGCUCAGUCCCAGUGACGGGACAUACAGCAAGAACACUCAUGGCAAAAGACAUUCUGAAUGGCCAGAGGUGUUAAGAAUUGCCAAGACAGUGCUGGGAUGCCGAGUCUACCAGAAAGGUGAAGCUGCCUUCGUCUCCAGCACAGCAUGAAACCCGACUGUUGACACUGCUCUGGCAGUGGCCCACCUGCUGGCCACAGGGCUCUGAGCUAGAGGAUGGCGCUGCUCUGUAGGUGGAUUCAUCUGGAGAGGAAGGGAAGAAGAC